rnacentral:rRNA from 1 species
AGCUAGUUGGCGGGGUAAUGGCCCACCAAGGCAGUGAUCAGUAGCCGGCCUGAGAGGGCGCACGGCCACACUGGAACUGAAACACGGUCCAGACUCCUACGGGAGGCAGCAGUGGGGAAUUUUGCGCAAUGGGGGAAACCCUGACGCAGCAACGCCGCGUGGAGGAUGACGCCCCUUGGGGUGUAAACUCCUUUCGAUCGGGACGAUUAUGACGGUACCGGAUGAAGAAGCACCGGCUAACUUCGUGCCAGCAGCCGCGGUAAUACGAGGGGGGCGAGCGUUGUUCGGAAUUAUUGGGCGUAAAGGGUGCGUAGGCGGUUUUGUAAGUCUUAUGUGAAAUCUAUGGGCUCAACUCAUAGACUGCAUGAGAAACUGCAGGGCUUGAGGAUGGGAGAGGUGAGUGGAAUUCCUGGUGUAGCGGUGAAAUGCGUAGAUAUCAGGAGGAACACCUGUGGCGAAAGCGGCUCACUGGACCAUUUCUGACGCUGAUGCACGAAAGCUAGGGGAGCAAACAGGAUUAGAUACCCUGGUAGUCCUAGCCCUAAACGAUGGGCACUAGGUGUGGGACUCUAUCGACGGGUUCCGUGCCGUAGCUAACGCAUUAAGUGCCCCGCCUGGGGAGUACGGCCGCAAGGCUAAA